CUCUGAAAACAUGAAUGAUGAGUUGACUAUAAAGAAACUAUAGACCCCAUACACGAAAUGAAUUUGUAGACUUGGAGACAUUUAUUCAUUGCUUUUAACCUGGAGAGCGUCCUCUAUGUGCUUUGCCAUAGCUUGUAUACAAGAAUCAUACAAAGAAACUAUAUGGUCAAUAGUCUGUCCUUCAAUUGGUUUCAGAGUGAAGGACCAGACUACUUCACACCCUUCUUGCUCUUGGCUUCCAAGAGGCAAUAAUUUGAUUGUAGCCAUAUGCGAUUUAAACCCUAUACUGUUUUCCUGGAGCGAGUAGCUCAAACACCUUCGAUCGGGGUCAAUGGCAAGCAGCUUCUCAUUUGCCCAUAUUGUUGUCAUUUCUCCUGAACCAUCAUCAGAGAUGGAUGUCUUGGCACAGUAUCUGAUGCAGCCUGGCUGACCUGAGAUGCCUUCAAUUCCAUAACAUGUAUCUAUUGUUCCUGGAAGACACUUGCCGAAGUUGAAGAAGUCCUCCAAGAGAGGCCAUAUCUGAUCGGCCCUGCAGCUGGUUAGCUUGGCACUAACUGCGCCUUCCCACAUUUUUUCUGCAUCAUAAUCGGCCAUGUCC
rnacentral:misc_RNA from 1 species